rnacentral:rRNA from 1 species
CCAUGGCGACGAUCUGUAGCUGGUCUGAGAGGAUGAUCAGCCACACCGGGACUGAGACACGGCCCGGACUCCUACGGGAGGCAGCAGUGGGGAAUAUUGGACAAUGGGGGCAACCCUGAUCCAGCCAUGCCGCGUGUGUGAAGAAGGCCUUUUGGUUGUAAAGCACUUUAAGCAGUGAAGAAGACUCCAUGGUUAAUACCCAUGGACGAUGACAUUAGCUGCAGAAUAAGCACCGGCUAACUCUGUGCCAGCAGCCGCGGUAA